ensembl:snRNA U6 U6 spliceosomal RNA
GGGCUCACUUCGGCAGCACAUGUACUAAAAUUGGAAUGAUACAGAGAAAAUUAGCAUGGUCCCGUGCAAAGAUGACAAGCAAAUUCAUAUAGUGUUCCAUACUUUA